AAGUCGUAACAAGGUUUCCGUAGGUGAACCUGCGGAAGGAUCAUUACAGAGUUCAUGCCCUUUGGGGUAGAUCUCCCACCCUUGUGUAUAUUACAAUGCUGCUUUGGCAGGUCGACCCAACCCCGAGCCACUGGGUUAUCCUAGUGUGUGCCUGCCAGAGGUCCCUACACCCUGAAUCAUCAGUGUCGUCUGAGUACAAAAAUUAUUUAAAA
rnacentral:misc_RNA from 1 species